AUUGAACGCUGGCGGCAGGCCUAACACAUGCAAGUCGAACGAGUGGCGGACGGGUGAGUAAUGUCUGGGAAACUGCCUGAUGGAGGGGGAUAACUACUGGAAACGGUAGCUAAUACCGCAUACCAUCGGAUGUGCCCAGAUGGGAUUAGCUAGUAGGUGGGGUAAAGGCUCACCUAGGCGACGAUCCCUAGCUGGUCUGAGAGGAUGACCAGCCAAACCGGAACUGGAGCCAGGGCCAAGAUCCUACGGGGGGCAGCAGUGGGGAAUAUUUGACAAAUGGCGCAAGCCUGAUGCCGGCAUGGCGCGUGUAUGAAGAAGGGCUUCGGGUUGUAAAGUACUUUCAGCGGGGGGGCGUUACCCGCAGGAGAAGCACCGGCUAAAUCCGGUCCAGGAGCCGCGGUAAUAC
rnacentral:rRNA from 1 species